CCUACGGGUGGCAGCAGUGGGGAAUAUUGCACAAUGGGGGAAACCCUGAUGCAGCGACGCCGCGUGAGUGAAGAAGUAAUUCGUUAUGUAAAGCUCUAUCAGCAGGGAAGAAAAUGACGGUACCUGAGUAAGAAGCCCCGGCUAACUACGUGCCAGCAGCCGCGGUAAUACGUAGGGGGCAAGCGUUAUCCGGAUUUACGUGGUGGAAAGGGAGCGUAGACGGCAGUGCAAGUCUGGAGUGAAAGGCGGGGGCUCAACCCCCGUACUGCUCUGGAAACUGUACGGCUGGAGUGCAGGAGAGGUAAGUGGAAUUCCUAGUGUAGCGGUGAAAUGCGUAGAUAUUAGGAGGAACACCAGUGGCGAAGGCGGCUUACUGGACUGUAACUGACGUUGAGGCUCGAAAGCGUGGGGAGCAAACAGGAUUAGAUACCCCGGUAGUC
rnacentral:rRNA from 1 species